rnacentral:misc_RNA from 1 species
GAAAGGAUCAUUAACGCUCUCUCUCUUUUAAUAACAAAGGUUUCUCAAUAUGUUGUUUGCUUGCUUGCUGCUCUUGAAUUUUAUUAUUUGAGAGCAGCAGCAGCAGCAACAGCAUUGAGAGACUGAAUGCGUGCCCAUAUAUGCUGCUCUCUUGGGCAUCAUACGUGUGUGGCCGCCCACUCCAUUAUAAUGAUGGAGUGUUGAAGUUCCCUUUUGCAUACAUACAUACACACACACAUGUGUGUGUGUGUAUGUGUGCAACAAAAAACACCAAAUCAAAAAGAAUACAUACACACAUAUAUAUACUAAAGAGUAUAAUUAUUAUAUCAAUAAUAAUACAACUCCUAACAACGGAUAUCUUGGUUCUCGCGAGGAUGAAGAACGCAGCGAAAUGCGAUACGUAGUGUGAAUCGCAGGGAUCAGUGAAUCAUCGAAUCUUUGAACGCAUGUUGCGCUCUCGUGGUCACCCCCCGAGAGCACGUUCGCUUGAGUGCCGCUCUUAUUCAUUAUCGAAAUGCGUAUCUACUCUUGGCCGCACGCCAGUCGCGUGGUCAGGUAGAUGACACGGGUUUUGUGUGCCGCCUGUGGCGUGCCACAUAGCCUCAGAUAGCUCUUUCAGUUGUCUUUUUGUCAUUAUUCUCUCCCUCUAGAUCAGAUCAUGAGGUGAGCAAUGACGAGUGUCCUUUUUUUGUGUAUGUGUGAAGAGCUUGGGGUUUCACCGCCACACACGGCGGUCUUUCUCUGCUGCUGCUCUCUUUAUUGUGAAUGGAUGUGUGUGUGUUGGGUUGCGUGUGCGUGUGCGUGUGCAGAUUUUAUAUCUGCACAUGCACGUGCGCAUGUGUCCAUUACAUAUAUGUUUAUAUAACAAUAUAGGGGACUAGCAGCAGAAAGAGAUCACAUGUAUGCGUGCGUGAAGCUAAUUACAAACCAAACUCUUCAACACACAUGCACACGAAAUUGAUACAUCAACACGUCAUUGUUUGCUUUCUGUGUGUUUGAAAGAGAGAGAGAGAGGCCUAAUAGGCAAAUGAUAAAUAAUACGGACAACAACAACAACACUUUACCCGGCCUCAAGUCGAGCGACAGUACCCGCUGAAUUUAAGCAUAUUAAUAAGCGGAGGAAAAGAAACCAACAGGGAUUCCCUUAGUAGCGGCGAGCGAAGCGGGAAGAGCCCAAGCUCUGAAUCUGGGCGCGCGUCAAGUUUCGUGCCCCGAAUUGUGGUCUCGUGACAAGGCAUCGCUGGAGCGACCGCGUUGGGCAAAAGUCCCUUGGAAAAGGGCGCCAGGGAGGGUGACAGCCCCGUCCAUUGGUCCAACGAUUCGGCCGUUACGAUCACGCGUAGUUGCUCUUGCCCCAGAGUCGGGUUGUUUGGGAAUGCAGCCCUAAGCGGGUGGUAAAUCCCACCCAAGGCUAAAUAUUGACAGCGAGAGACCGAUAGCGAACAAGUACCGUGAGGGAAAGGUGAAAAGGACUUUGAAAAGAGAGUCAAAAGUGCUUGAAAUUGUUAGGAGGGAAGCGAUCGGCACCGGCGGUUCGCUUAUUUUCUCUCGGGCUGUUCAGUGAUGCCGCCGUCAGAAGGGCUUGCGGAAGCAAGGAGCGUGUCAAAAGCGCCUUUGCUCUGUGUCCAUCUUCUGGCGCGAAUCAUGCAUUCAGUCUGAGGAGCGAGCCAGCAUCGGCUUCGUAUAUUAGAGUGGUGACUGAUGGGCAUCAGGGCUAGGGCCUGGUGGGCUGGCCUCACGGCUGUGUCCCACCAGCGCGACCUGGUGAUCCCUGUCAUCAUGGAGGCCGAGGAACCGACAACCCAUGUCCGCAAGGGCGAGGCACUGCGUCAUCAUGGCGGGCUCACGUGUGAGGAUCGGGAACCGAUGCUCGUGCGGCGUAGUCUGUCGUUUGUGGCGUGGGUCCAUCUACGGUGGGUUAGUGGAUGCUGGCGGAACGGUGCUGAUCGACCCGUCUUGAAACACGGACCAAGGAGUCUAACACGUGCGCGAGUGUCCGGGUGGCAAACCUGGGCGCGGAGUGAAAGCAGAGGGCAACGUUACGGUUGUCUGAGGUGGGAAGGAGGGUGAGGCCGUGCGUCAAAACGCGGUCCCUCCUGCACCACCGGCCGACCUGGAUUUUCUUGAAAGGUUUGAGCUAGAGCGUACUUGUUGGGACCCGAAAGAUUGUGAACUAUGGGUGACCAGGACGAAGCCAGAGGAAACUCUGGUGGAGGUCCGAAGUGAUACUGACGUGCAAAUCGUUCAUCUGAGUUGCCUAUAGGGGCGAAAGACUAAUCGAACAAUCUAGUAGCUGGUUCCCUC